AGUAGGUAAAAAUUAAACGGAAAAUAAUUACCAUCUUCUUUCUUGGCAUCUUUGUUUUUAGCGGGCUUUGGGGGGGGUCUCAAGACUUUUCAAACAUCCAGAGAAGCUAUAUAUGCAUAACAGUGUAAUGUCUCAUUUACUAAAAUUAUUUGCAUUAUGAAUGAUGUUGUUUAGUGAGUGGACAGUAUUAACAACAUUUUAAUAUUAUGUAAAAAUCCUUUUUCUACAGGGCAAAAGAUGAAGAAGAGUCUGUGGCUCAUGCAACCUUCCUGAAAAUCGAUUAUGUGAAGUAUCCACAGAGGGGUAAGGAUUGUGACAGGACAGAGAGGUUUGCAGUGUAGGUCUGGCUUUAUACCCUUACUUAAGAAGACAUCUUCUGGGUCCUCAAGGAUUGGAAGGAACCUAGUUAGCCGCAUAGUAAAAUCUGUACUUUGUGGCCACCAGAAGUUUGACAGCAAGUGCAUCUCAUCUUGGCAUUCUUUCCCCAUGAACCUGGUCCCACCUUGGUUCCUGGUACUGCCACCAGACUGGAGUCAUUGAAAGGUAACAAUCAGUUAUAAUGACUCUUUGGAAUCCUCCCUAAGAGGAACAGCUGGGUCUUUUCACAUUUUGUCUUUAUGCCCAAUUAACCUCUAACUACAGCCCUACUGGGUUGUUAUUUAAAAAAAAAUCCUUAGCUAGUGUGCAGAGAUUGAAGGUAUCAGCUCAGAAAUUCCCUCUUUAUGCC
rnacentral:lncRNA from 1 species